CCUACGGGAGGCAGCAGUGAGGAAUAUUGGUCAAUGGGCGCGAGCCUGAACCAGCCAAGUCGCGUGAGGGAAGACGGUCCUAUGGAUUGUAAACCUCUUUUGUCGGGGAGCAAAAGACGCCACGCGUGGCGUUCCGAGAGUACACGAAGAAAAAGCAUCGGCUAACUCCGUGCGAGCAGCCGCGGUAAUACGGAGGAUGCGAGCGUUAUCCGGAUUUAUGGGGUUUAAAGGGUGCGAGGGCGGAAGAGCAAGUCAGCGGUAAAAGUGAGAGGCCCAACCUCUUCGAGCCGUUGAAACUGGUUUUCUUGAGUGAGAGAGAAGUAUGCGGAAUGCGUGGUGUAGCGGUGAAAUGCAUAGAUAUCACGCAGAACUCCGAUUGCGAAGGCAGCAUACCGGCGCUCAACUGACGCUCAUGCACGAAAGUGUGGGUAGCGAACAGGAUUAGAUACCCCGGUAGUC
rnacentral:rRNA from 1 species